rnacentral:tRNA from 1 species
ACAUCGUUAGCGUGGUUAGUGCAGUCUGCCGGAAACAGAAAGACGCGGGUUCAAUUCCCGUCCGAUGUC